GGGGGGGGGGGGGGGGGGGUGUGGUGUUGCAGGGGCGGGGCGCGGCCCAGGAUGGGCAGAUCAUAUCAUGCAGCAGAAAGCUCAUUUAAUGUAACCCAUAAAAGGAUUCCAGAAACUUACAAGAGUUGCAAAGGGAUGGACUACAAUGCCCGAUGCUUUUCGCUUUAAUGUUGAAGCAACACAUGUCAGUAGCAUUUGCCUCCAAAAUGAUAGUCCAUGGAUCAGAUGCAUAGAAAAUCAUUAGCACAUAGAUAUAUGAGAAGAUAAGACAAUAUCAACUAUAGCAUAGAAAACAAACUACUUGUUUAUUGAACUCAACCACAGAGAAACAGGAAUAUACACCACUAAAGACAUUUUUACACAUAACUCAUUCACACACAAUUGAGUAGAGCAAAAGGAAGGUCAACUCUGCUAAUGGUACCUUUUAAAUUUAUAGUUAAGAGUGUACGUGUGCUAGGAUAUUUCCUUUUCAAAGCACAACCACAUGGCACGAUACAUAGCAAAUAAUAUGUAGCUCCCAUGUGCACAAAAUCCAAGGAACCAUUCUCAAGGAAACUUACCCAAACACAUAAAAAGCAGUAUAAGAAACUAUUCUUUAGCACAUAGAAAGAAAUUCACAUGAAUUUAACUUGUAAAAUUCUAUUAAUGUGCAAAUAUUUUGAAAAAUAAGAAGUAUUUUAGGUGUUUUCAUAAGCUCCCAGUAAACUAACAAAGGUACCUUCUCCUGGGUGCCUUUUAUGCAUUUAAGCACUGGAGGGUUGCCUCAAAGCAAGGGGCGAUAUCCUGAACGAAAAAUUGAAUUAGAUUCCCCAGGAUAAAAAGGAAAUUCUAAAAUAAAAUAGAUUGCAAAGUAUAAAAAGGACAGAUAGCAUUGCAAGUCUAAAAUAAUCAUAUCCCAAACUCAAAAAAAAUAUGCAAGAACUGCAGAAAUAAAAUAAAAAAUAACAGAAAACAAAAUCCACCUUGCCAGCUUCAACAAAUGGUCACAAAAACAAAUAUGACAUUAUUUAGCAAUAGGAAUCCCAAAUAUUGCUUUCCUUAUUGAUCUCCCAUAAUUCAAUUGCAGCAACCAUGUACAAGGUACAAAUAUAAUUGUGGCAGAGGAAAUAAAACAGCCAUGAUAAAUUUUCACAAUGCCCAUAAUCAAGAAUGGUUACAAGAGCGGAAAACGCCUUUGGCAAGUUAUCUUACAAUAGAAACAGUACAUUCCCCUGAAAGAACCGCCGGUUAAGAGUACUCCUGACCAAACAUCACCACUUCUGUAUUCAACGACGGCUAUAACUGUCCAAAGCUCAUAGGAAAAUAGAGGACAAAGACAUAAUGCCCAAUGAUUAGAUAACUGAAUAUGAAGUCAUAAUGUAUUAAUAUCUAGCGCAACAGCAAUUCUGGUGUCAGAAAAUCAGCAACAUUGUUCACUUGCCCGUGAUGAAUGGAUGAAGCUGUGCUUGAUGAACUGUCAUCCUCUUCUCAGGAUCCAAUACAAAAAUUUUAUCUAGAAGAUCUCUAAAAUUGGCUAACAUCUUUGGAUCCUCACCAGGAGAACUAGUAACAAUUGUUCCAAUAUCUUUUGGCUUUAUAUUUAGAAUCAUCCUCUUUACAGUCUUUUUAGUAACAAGAUCCUCCUCUGUAGCAUGAAAAUUCAAAUCCUGGUCAAAAUGCUGGUCAACAAAAGCACCCUGCAAGAAGAAAGUCAAAUUAACACAUCAACAGUGCAAGUAAAGAAGUAAUGUUCGAGAAUAUAGAGUAUAGACACAGGCAAGUCACCAAUCUUCAGAGUCUUGCAAUGAUGGGAAGGGAGGAAGAGGGAGCUAAAAUACAGUAUGAACAAUAAAUCCCUAAACCACACAUCCAUUGAUCCAAACAUCAGGGAACCUAGAGCCAAGAAAUUAACUCCAAAUAUAGAAGAUACAGUAUGAAGUUUUCAGCAACUGCUACAGACAACUAUUACAGGGAGGCAGAAAAGAAUGAACAGAUCCCACCUUCUUAAGCAUCUUCUUUGGAAAAGGGCCCUUCAGUUCCAUGUGAAGCCGCAACAUGUCAUUAUUUGUAGGACCAGGAAAAAGAACUUUCCCAGUAUAAAGCUCAUACAAACAGCAACCAACAGACCACAUAUCCAUUGGAUGAUCAUAAGGCAAGCCAAGAAUGACUUCCGGAGCACGAUAAAAGCGGCUCACAAGGUAUGGAGUAAUUUCAUUUUUACCAGAAAACAUGGCAUUACCAAAAUCACAAAGCUUCAGCACAUUUUUUGCCUCGUUUACCAGCAUGUUAUCAGGCUUUAUAUCACAAUGAAGAACCCCACAGUUCUUGAGAUGCUUCAGCGCAAUAAAAAGCUGCUUUGCAUAUGCUCUCACAGCAGUUAGUUUAAGGCCAAUAUUACGACCAAACUUUUUUAAGACCUCACGAAGGUUCAUAUGAAGAGAUUCAAAAACUAAACAAAGAUGAUUUCUGUACUUGAAACUCGAAAGGAAUCGAACACAAUGGCGCUUGUUCUCUUGAUCUAGAUCUGCUAGUUUAUUUAAUAUCUUAACCUCUGACUGACCAGCUCUUUGCAUUGUUUCAUUAUUACGAAUGAUUUUUAUAGCCACUUCUUCAGGUUCACCAACACCAGCCUUUAAAUCCUUCGCACGAAUUACUGUGGAAAAGACACCUUUUCCAUGAGCAGCCACAAUUUCAUACCGACCAUCAAGUAUUUCACCAAAUCGGUAGCCAUAAUACCCAUCAGAGUCAUCCCAGUUGUCAUGAAGACCAUUCCGCAUAAUUGGUAAACCAUCUCCUUUGCCCGAUUUAUGAACUCCAGUUGGUGUCUCGCCAAAUAUGUCAUCACAAUAUUUUUCAUCUGACCUCUCGCUCUUAGGAGUACCCUCUCCAAGACCCACAGCACCAGAAGUCCUCUCAGAUGCCCGUGUUCCAUUUUGUGGAGGCGACUCGCCCACAGAAAAUGAUGGCUCGGCAACAUAGAUAUCACCAUCAAUCCUAGUAUCAAGAGUUUCUGGAACAAAAUUAGAAGCUGGCAAAGAUUGGACACGAAGUUGUGCAGGUUCAACAUCUUUUUCAGCAUCCUCUGAUUGAGCCUCAUUUUUCUGCUGUGAUUGCUGAUUCCUAUAUUUUUCAAGAAUAGCUUGCCUGCGUUUUCUACUCUCCUCCUUUACACUAUCAAGAUCUUCCUCCUGUUCAGCUAGUUUUAAAUUAAUCCUUUCUUCAAAAUCAUCCUGUUCAUCUUCAUCUCUUUUGAGUUUGUAUCGGUCACCUUCUAAAGAAUCACCAUGAGAAUUAUAGCCCUUUGUCGAAUCACUCUUAAUGUCACUGGCUUUGUCCCUAUUUCUAUUGCUACGCCUUUCCCUCUCCCUCUCACUCUCCCAAUCUUGGCCCCUAACUCUGUCCCUCUCCCUAUACGUAUCGCUAUCCUUCUUCCUCUCUCUUUCCUGAUCUCUGUGUCUCUCACUAGACCUAGUAACAUCUUUAUCUUUGCUUUUAUCUCUUUCUUUCUGCCUUUUCUUGCCCAGAUCCUCCUCCAUGUCCCUCCUCCUAUCCCUCUCCACCUCCCUUUCCAAGCUCCUCUCUCGUUGCCUCUCUCUUCUCCGAUCCCUGUCCAUCUCUCUGUCCUUGCUCCUCUCCCUUUCAAUCUCUCUUCUCAUAUCCCAGUCCCUGCUCCUCUCCCUUUCCUCCUCUCUUCUCACAUCCCUGUCCCAGCUCCUCUCCCUUUCCUUCUCUCUUCUUAUAUCACUGUCCCGGCUCCUCUCCCUUUCCUUAUCUCUACUCACAUACUUGUCCCUACUCCUGUCCUGUUCCAUCUCUCUUCUCAGAUCCCUGUCUCUCCUCCUCUCUCCAUCUUUCUCUCUUCUCUGAUCCCUGUCCAUGCUUCUCUCUCGUACCUGAUCCCUUCUCCAUUCCCAGUUGUCCUUCUCCCUGGUCACCUCUCUGCCACAUGCAUCCCUGCUUCUAUGCCUGUCCCCACCUCCUAGACUUCUGCUGUAACUGGUACUGUGCUCCCUUUCUAAAUCUUUACUAACAUGCUUCAGGUCCCUAUCACGUCUAGACAUUCUUUCAUCAUCAGAAAAAUUUUCAGCCCUUCCAUUGUGUUGCCCUCUCUUCAAAAGAACCUCCUCUUGUACUAUGCUGUGGAAACGAGAUCUCUCCCUAGCAAAAUCAUGUGACAAUGAUCUUCUCCUAGGAAUUUCCUCAUCAUGGUACCUAUCAUGAGAUGCUGAGCCUGUCAUAGUCUUGUUUUUAUCCCUCCCACUUUCAGAAGAUGAUGAAUUACCCCAAUCACCUAAUUUGCUUUCAGCACCCUCAGGUGUAUCAGCAUCACGGUAAUUCUUUUGCUUGUGACUUCCUUUAGAAGAACCAGACUCUGCAUGCCGUUUCUUGCCUGCUGUGUGAUAUUCAUGACCCAUAUCUCCAUUGGUAUGAACCGCAAGCUUAUCUCUAUAAACUAAUUCAUCUUGAACCUCAGCUCUAGGAUCUUUGGGCAAAUUAACCUUACUGUCAAACUUGUUAGCAUUGUAAGAAUUAGUUAAAGCAUUGCCACUAUUGUCAGCAUGUACUCCCUGUAAUACAAUGGAAGAAAAUUAAGGGACAUGAAUUUGCAAAGGCAUGAUAUACACAACUUAAUAAGUAAAUUAAUAAAUGAAAAUUAGUUAACAUGCAGAAAUGAAAUAGAAAAAACUUGUAACUAGCUCUUACAAAUCAACAAUAAGCCACCAGUUCUCCAUUGAAACGCCUAGGAGGAACUUCAUUCUUUUUGCAAUUCACUCAUGUUCGUGUGUAGUGCAAGCAGGUUCUUACACAUGUGUAUGGAACAUACUCUAACAAGCUCUCACCAAACAAAAAAAUCAUCAUACAAUCCAUAAAAAUUACAACACUACCAUGAGCAUCCGUUUGGCCACUGAGAAAACUAAGUUCUUAAGAUAGAGGUAAAAAAAGUUCUCAUUUAAAACCUGAAAAAAUUUUAUAAUUCUUGGCUGCCAGCCAAAAGAACGCUUUUCUGAGCCAAAGCGAGCUUUUUGCAAUCGUUCAAAACGUAUCUAUAAAAUUCAUCAUUCCAAAUUUCUUUCCACAAUUUUCUCAGGGACCAAACAGAAAGCCGAAAACAAUCUAAAAACAAUUGAGGCAAACAAUUGAAAUACAUAAGGACUAAUAGAACAUACCAGAUUUUGGGAAUCAAUUUUUUCCUCGCGUAAUUCGAUGGCCCUUACACUAACACCACCAGAACCCUCUUCCUCCAAAAUCUCGCCUUCCUCCACGUCAUCAUCAAGCCUAUUAUCAUUAGCAGCAACAGGAUUCAUCGGAGGAGAAGAAGCGGUUUCAUCGCCAGCAUGUUUACUUUCCUCACCGUGCUUCUUGCUGCGGUGGGAGCGGUGAUGGUGAUGA
rnacentral:misc_RNA from 1 species